AGUCAGUGGAAAUUAAAACAUACUUCCUGGGGAUGAUAAGGGGCCCACAGAGCCGUCUUUGUUGGUUUAAAUCCACCAAGACGAGCAGCUUGAAUCACAUGGGAUUCCCUUAUGAGUCCUCCAUAGAGGACUGUUUCACUGGCAUACAGGUAAGGGAUUAUUUGUUGUGGCAUCGCAAAACUUUUGUUAAUUGCAGUGACUAAUUGUGUUCACUUUAAUUUGUUCUCUUAAGGCUGAAUCUGGGAGGGUUACAGAGUUCAUCUCCUGUAACCGAAUGGAGACAUCAUUCGUCGUGCCACAUUAUUUUGUGAUAAAGUUAUUGCACUGUCAUGAAGUGUAUCUUGUAGUUAGUAACUAUUAGAAUUUUGUCAGUUGUGCUUUUAUUUGUCUGCUGUGUCAAUAUUUUUUUUAUUCAACAGCAAACCAUUACAACGGUAACCUGCACUUUGCUGUAUGUGGCUGAAGAUGGACAGAUGUUCACCUCCACUUGGGACUAUGAUCACAACAACUGUGAGGAGAGUGAGGAGCGCCUUAACCCAGUGGAGUUGGAGGUGCCCUUUAUUUGCUGCCAUCUUUCAGACAGAGGGGUGACUGAAAUCGGCCUGAAGGUGCCCGCACUUCGUGAGGCAUUUGCUACUCUGCUUGCCAGCAUCCACAACCAGAACUUCUUGUUCAUGGUUGGAAAGAAGAUCGUCAUGCGACUGGCAGCAGCUAACAACCAGGAUGCAGUUGGCCUACGAGGCCCUGAUUCGAUUCCUGAGGACGCCUUCCAAUCAGGAAUCGAUUAAAGCAGAGCUCAGCUCCUGUGACCACCACUACAACUUCCUGGAUGUUUUUUUUUGAGCUGAUUUUCUUCAGCUACUUUAUAAAUGGCUCAAAACCUCAGCCAUUUAAGGGAGGAUUCUUGGAGCGCCUGCUUGCGCUCUUCAGCAUGUGGGAGAGAGUGUUUGCCACCUUUGAUGACUGCCUGGAGGCUACCUCUUGUACACUCCCCACUGACUGACCCUCCUGCUGGCUAAUCUGCUGUGCAACAUCCUCAGCCUGCUGUCUCAUUUGCACUGUCAUUUUUAAGGACUACAGGAGAGUUUCAGUGUUGAGCACCCAUGUCGGUUCUGCUUUGCAAAGAGGAGUGAAAUCCAGGAGAAGGAGGUCUGGUCAUUUGAACUGAGAACCAAGCAGGAGCAUGACAGGCAAGUGGCUGAAGUGUUACACAAUGAGCGUUUGGUAAAGCAGUAUGGUGUGAAAGGUGGCUGUGUGUUAAGUGAAAGGUUGGAACAUUUUCACACAGUUGGUGGUUUUCUACCUGACAUAAUGGAGGGUAUCAUCCCUUAUGAAAUGUCCUCGUGCAUUAAUGAUUUGGUCUCAAGGAAAUUAAUCUCUCUUAGAUCCCUGAAUCAAGCUAUCAAGCAGUUUCCUUACAAAUUCUCAGACAAACUUGAUCAGCCUCAGAUCAUCCCAGGCACAUUUCCCUCAAAAGGUACCUUUUUACCUUUAACAAUCUUUCCUCAUUUCACAUUGCGCCCUAAACACCACUACAUUGAGCACUAUCCACAGCUCAUAAGAAUGUACGGACCUCUAAGAGAUAUGUGGACGAUGCGAUUUGAGGGAAAACACCAAAUUCUUCAAGCAGGUAAUCCAUGACACCAAAAACUUUAGCAGUUUGCCAUCAAAGGCUGCUGGCUUACUACAUUGACUCUCCCUCCUUUCUCAAGCUAU